AACGAACGCUGGCGGCAUGCCUAACACAUGCAAGUCGAACGAGACCUUCGGGUCUAGUGGCGCACGGGUGCGUAACGCGUGGGAACCUGCCCUUAGGUUCGGAAUAACUCCCCGAAAGGGGUGCUAAUACCGGAUAAUGUCUUCGGACCAAAGAUUUAUCGCCUUUUGAUGGGCCCGCGUUGGAUUAGCUAGUUGGUAGGGUAAAAGCCUACCAAGGCGACGAUCCAUAGCUGGUCUGAGAGGAUGAUCAGCCACACUGGGACUGAGACACGGCCCAGACUCCUACGGGAGGCAGCAGUGGGGAAUAUUGGACAAUGGGCGAAAGCCUGAUACAGCAAUGCCGCGUGAGUGAUGAAGGCCUUAGGGUUGUAAAGCUCUUUUACCCGGGAUGAUAAUGACAGUACCGGGAGAAUAAGCACCGGCUAACUACGUG
rnacentral:rRNA from 1 species